CAGUCGCCACGGUAAUACGUAGGUGGCAAGCGUUGUCCGGAAUUAUUGGGCGUAAAGGGCUCGCAGGCGGCUUCUUAAGUCUGAUGUGAAAGCCCCCGGCUCAACCGGGGAGGGUCAUUGGAAACUGGGAAACUUGAGUGCAGAAGAGGAGAGUGGAAUUCCACGUGUAGCGGUGAAAUGCGUAGAGAUGUGGAGGAACACCAGUGGCGGAGGCGACUCUCUGGUCUGUAACUGACGCUGAGGAGCGAAAGCGUGGGGAGCGAACAGGAUUAGAUACCCCUGUAGUCCCUGUCUCUUAUAC
rnacentral:rRNA from 1 species